rnacentral:rRNA from 1 species
UACAGAGGUCCCGAGCGUUGUUCGGAUUCACUGGGCGUAAAGGGUGCGUAGGUGGUGGGGAAAGUCGGAUGUGAAAUCUCGGAGCUCAACUCCGAAAUGGCAUUGGAAACUACCCUGCGUUGAGGGUUUGGAGGGGGGACUGGAAUUCUCGGUGUAGCAGUGAAAUGCGUAGAUAUCGAGAGGAACACCAGUGGCGAAGGCGAGUCCCUGGACAAAACCUGACACUGAGGCACGAAAGCUAGGGGAGCAAACAGG